GCUCAAAAUAAUUUAAAAUUUAAAACAACAUCUGGAAUUCUGUUGGUUUAUUAUGUAUACACAAAUUCACCUAUAGAAGAAUAUGAACAUUUUUGACGGAUUUAGAGCAUCUACCAUAUAAGUUGAUCUCGUGUACAAAUGGAGGGUGGGUUUGGGGGUAAAAAUAAUGGAUUUUGAUAUGACCUGUAAAUAGGUUGUGGGUAAAACCUAGGGGCAUGUAACAAAGGAUGUAAAGAAUGAAUCAAAGGAAAACCAUGCCAAGGUACAUACAAAAUUCUGAGAGGCAUAAGUGUUUAUGUUCUCGCUAAAAGCUGGACAGAUGAGGAAGAAAAUGUGGUAAAUUAUGGCUGGACAAUGUGAUCAGGUAUGUGUUGCUAAAAAAUGCACAUGUAUCAAAAAGGAUGAGAAAGCAAACCAAAGCAAAUGGUAAUUACAUUUGCUGUAAUUAUAGCCUUUAACUUUAUAACUUUGCCUGAUUUUAACCCCAAAAAACUUGACAAACAUACAUUUAGGAAAGUCCAAAGUUAGAUAUUAUAGAAAUUUGUUUUAUUUGUUACCCCCCCCCCUUUUUUUUUUUAACCAAGGUAGAAGAUCUUAUUCAGAUUCAUCAGAACCCAAUUAAUCUCAGUGCUCCUUCGAGGGGAAGCACCAAAGAGCAGCUGCCAUCACCAUUUUCCUGCCCAGACAUCCAAAAAGGCCAAAAGUGAAGCUGCAGCAGAGAGAUUAGAGGGGGUUGGUGCUUCUUGUAGGCUCUUCCAGGAUGGACUAAACUCUUGCCUUUCACCACUCUACUGGGGAAAGGCAAUAGUUCCUUUUUUUGGUAAGAGUUAAAGUAUAGGACUUGAGUUGACCCAUGGAUAAGUUGACCCAGGUUUGUUGGGUCAAUGUUUCGGUGUUCAGUGCCCAUGCAUAAUAUUCUACCUUGGUUAAAAAAAAAAAAGGAGGAGGCAAAUAAAACAAUUUUCUAUAUGUAACUUUGGACUUUCCUGAAUAAAAUAUACCUCAAGAAGCAAACUUGACAGGAUAAUGGUGGUCACUUCAGGAUGAACUUUGCUAUGUUUGUUGGAACAUACCACUGUAACUGUCAACUGGUUCUCCAGGUUUGUAUCACUGAUUCUUCUUUAUUCAAAGUAGUAAUCUUGGAAGAGCUUAAUGGAAUCCAGGUUAACUGAAAGUCUGUAUCUUCCCAUAUGAGACUGCAUGACCUGUAAGAUCUUUGGAGGAGACACGUCUCUCAAUCCCACCACCUUGGCAGGCUCUUUUACUGGGAAUGUGGAGAGGACUUUCUUCCUGGCUGCUUCCAGACUUUGGAACUCCUUUUCUUGGAAGAUAAGGAUAGCUCCUUCCUUCCUGUCUUUUCAGCAGCAGUGAUGUCUUCCUCUUUGAUUGGAAACUUUCUCUGGGUGACAUGUCACUGACAUUUGUUGGCGAUUAAAGAAUAUUCCAACCAGAUGGAGCUGCUGUCGGAAUGCACAGCGGGAGUCAACUGGAGAAUUCCGCUGGCACUGAUUGCUGCUGCUUCUUUCCUUUCUUCCUUUCUUGGUAUUGCCAGAGGAGUUGAGUCAGAAUGGGAGCAAGUAUCUGGUGUCAGUGAUGAAUGGUUUUUCCACAUUCACGGAGGUCCUUCACCCCUAAUGCCAGCGAAUGUGGAGGGACCACUGUACAUGUGGAUGGCACCAUGCC